CACAUCCCGACGAUCGGUCCUCCAAGUCUGUAUCGGUUGCACCGUCCCUUUGCAAAGAGAACAACGGGCAACAGCAGUUUCACAGUUGAAGCAAGGAUUGCAGACUCCUCCUAGGUCUGGUCCAACCACUCGGCCCGUUUCGGUGCUUUACACGUGUGCACGUCCACAGUGUCCUCGCACUCCUUGCAGCGCACAGCGCAGCACCAGUGGAACUUGCACUCGCACUUGGUGAUGCGAGUGACGCGCGUGGUGUCGUACCCCCGCCCACAGCACAUCACCUCGCAGCCGUCCGUCCCGCGGGACAUCUUGUUGCACACGCGACCGGCCGUGCCCAGGGAGCCUGGGGAAGGAAGCGAGAGCAGGUCAGGGUGUCCCUUCUCCAUCUUGUUCAAACGCUUCCUCCCCCCGGCCCUGCAACUGUUAGCAGCGGUAAGAUGGGGUAUCUACCGUCUGCAACGGAGACCUCGGUAAUCAGGUGAGUUCUCAAAAUACACCAGAUCUGUUUUCGUGGGCUUCCUGAAGUUCUUGUUGGCCACCGUGAAGCCAGUGCCGUCCUGGUUCAUCGUCACCUGGAUGGCCCCGUUGUAUUUCUUCCUUAGCUUCAGGAAACGCUUCACAGCCUGUGGGAAGAGAGAUGCCAUGAGGACCGGCGGUCACCCUGGGCAUCAGACAUCACGCCUGGGUCUGCUUGUUCCUGGUGCAGCUUAUCAGCCCUCGCCUGUGCGGGACGGGGCUCCUAACAGGAGAGGGGUGCUGCGUGCGGAGGGCACACUCCCACGGUCACCGAUGCCAGCAUCAGUGAGGACACGUGCUGGGGGCAAAGGUUCAUCAGCGCCCGGGCGUCCUUCACUUUCUUCUCCUUGGCGUCCACGAAGGCUUUGGCAAACCGGAUCCCGUAGUUGAUGUUGUCGCUGCA